rnacentral:rRNA from 1 species
UAGGGAAUCUUCCGCAAUGGGCGAAAGCCUGACGGAGCAACGCCGCGUGAGUGAUGAAGGUCUUCGGAUCGUAAAACUCUGUUAUUAGGGAAGAACAAAUGUGUAAGUAACUAUGCAGGUCUUGACGGUACCUAAUCAGAAAGCCACGGCUAACUACGCGCCAGCAGCCGCGGUAAUACGUAGGUGGCAAGCGUUAUCCUGAUUUAUUGGGCGUAAAGCGCGCGUAGGCGGUUUUUUAAGUCUGAUGUGAAAGCCCACGGCUCAACCGUGGAGGGUCAUUGGAAACUGGAAAACUUGAGUGCAGAAGAGGAAAGUGGAAUUCCAUGUGUAGCGGUGAAAUGCGCAGAGAUAUGGAGGAACACCAGUGGAGAAGGCGACUUUCUGGUCUGUAACUGACGCUGAUGUGCGAAAGCGUGGGGAUCAAACAGG